AAGUCCUCCCAGGCCCACCAGUUUAUCCAUUACUUUCAUAAGUGCUUUUAAAAAAUAAGUACUUCUAAAAAGAUUGCUUCUAAAAAGCUUAUCAAAAUUGGCAGGCUUAUUGCUUUUGUGUGAGUAAUCCAAAGUUAAAGCAAAUUAAUGGCAAAAAAACAGUUCAAAUGCUAAAUACUAAGGAGUCAAAAUUCCUUGCAAAGUGAUUUUUACAGCGUCCAUUUGGUUGAUAUAAAUUCCAAAUGCUCAUAGACGUCAAUGCCUAUAUGAAACUAUCGGUUCAAUCAUAUCGCUUUGAGUUAUAUAGAUUUUGUAAUCCCUCUUUUGAUCGUUUUAAACGCUUUAUCCUGAUUUAGGGGCCGUAGCUCAGCUGGGAGAGCACCUGCUUUGCAAGCAGGGGGUUGUCGGUUCGAUCCCGUCCGGCUCCACCAUAAGGUCAUCAUCAUUGUUGUAAGAACAGUUU
rnacentral:tRNA from 1 species